CUUACUUCUUCGUAGAAUGCAAUUAGGUACGUUUGACUAUGUAACUAAUUAUUCUCUACUGCCCCAGACUCCUUUUUGUUUUUUUGAUACAGGGAGAAAGCUGUGGAUAUCAUAUAAAUUCUUAAAUAGCUGGUAAAUAUGGCACAUGUUAUUCAAAAGUACCAAUUAGUUUUAUGAACAUGCAAGAAUGAAGCUAGUAUGCCCGCAAACAAGACCCAUAGUAGACCUAUUAACUGGCUGAAUAAUUUAAUUCAUGUUUUUUU